UACGAAGGGGGCUAGCGUUGCUCGGAAUUACUGGGCGUAAAGCGCACGUAGGCGGUCUUUUAAGUCGGGGGUGAAAUCCUGGAGCUCAACUCCAGAACUGCCUUCGAUACUGGAAGACUUGAGUCCGGGAGAGGUGAGUGGAACUGCGAGUGUAGAGGUGAAAUCCGUAGAUCUACGAAGGAACGCCAAAAGCGAAGGCAGCUCUCUGGGUCCCUACCGACGCUGGGGUGCGAAAGCAUGGGGAGCGAACAGG
rnacentral:rRNA from 1 species